CGGUGGUAAUGGCGUAAAGGUAACACUCCUUCCCAUACCGAACAGGUAAGUUAAGCUUUAUAGCGCUGAUGGUACUGCAGGGGAAGCCCUGUGGGAGAGUAAGACACUGCCGGGUA
rnacentral:rRNA from 1 species